UCUGGGGAGGUGUCUCCAAAAUGUCCUCUUUAGUGCCACUUGGAUCAGUGGGCUUUGCUUCCUGCACUGUGUCCUGGAGUAGGGCUCCUCCGGAUGGCUGAACGCGGUCUGUUUGCUCUCUGUCUGUUGGUUCUCCAGUGAAACAGCAGAGCAUUGCACGUCCAGAGAAGUGGCCGCAGUGAGUCCUACCCUGGGGAGACAAACUUGACGAGGCAUCUGCUACUGACUGCCCCAGUUGAGACUGCACUGCAGUCCUGCCUGCGUUGGGGCCUCUAGGACCUAUUCCUGCAACCUCCAGCGCAUUUCCUUGGCUGCCAAGAGCUUGUAGCCUACACCAUUUGUUCUCUUUGUAGUGGAAGAGUGAGGUAGCUGGUCCCACAGCCAUAUCAGAAUCCUGCAGACCAAAGUCCCACCACGUGGACUAAGUGACAGUUGUAUGCCAGAUGCUGCAAAGAGCCGUGGUGGAAGUACAGAUGUCUAAAAAUGGCCAGGAAACAGAUUAGCAAUAAAAAUGUUUCACAUACUCUCCCCAGUGGUUUGCAUAAACUAUCUCAUUUCAUCUGGGUUAAAAGAUAGGUAAGCCAAAAUGACAUCUAAAUCCAAAUUUCACUUGAGUCAGGAGUAAGAAUGUCGUUUAUCACAGCUGCUUGCUUCUGAAAUUUGCUUCAUGAGCACUGCCA